rnacentral:rRNA from 1 species
CGGACGGGUGAGUAACGCGUGAGAAUCUGCCCUUAGGAGGGGGACAACAGUUGGAAACGACUGCUAAUACCCCAUAUGCCGAGAGGUGAAACAUUAAUGGCCUGAGGAGGAGCUCGCGUCUGAUUAGCUAGUUGGUGGGGUAACGGCCUACCAAGGCGACGAUCAGUAGCUGGUCUGAGAGGAUGAUCAGCCACACUGGGACUGAGACACGGCCCAGACUCCUACGGGAGGCAGCAGUGGGGAAUUUUCCGCAAUGGGCGAAAGCCUGACGGAGCAAGACCGCGUGAGGGAGGAAGGUCUGUGGAUUGUAAACCUCUUUUCUCAGGGAAGAAGAACUGACGGUACCUGAGGAAUCAGCAUCGGCUAACUCCGUGCCAGCAGCCGCGGUAAUACGGAGGAUGCAAGCGUUAUCCGGAAUUAUUGGGCGUAAAGCGUCCGUAGGUGGCUAAGCAAGUCUGCUGUUAAAGAGCGGAGCUAAACUCCGUAAAGGCGGUGGAAACUGCAUAGCUAGAGUGUGGUAGGGGUAGAGGGAAUUCCCAGUGUAGCGGUGAAAUGCGUAGAUAUUGGGAAGAACACCGGUGGCGAAGGCGCUCUACUGGGCCACAACUGACACUGAUGGACGAAAGCUAGGGGAGCGAAAGGGAUUAGAUACCCCUGUAGUC